GCAGUCUGAAAUGAUGCUCUUUUUUAGCGCUGUGCUAGCAGGAAGGUCUGUGAAGUUUGCAAUAAAGCCAUUAUGAAGUCAAGAAUGGAGGUUCCAUUUUUAAAGAACUCAGAGGGGGUAGAUCUUGAUUGACAUCUCAUCUGGGGUCACCUGGUCUUCAACUGAGAGAUCUUUUGGUUCGCCACGGAUGCCCCUUGCAGUUAUGGAAGUUCACUCUUUGAGAGAGAGAUAAAUAAACAUUAAAAUGUAAAGAAAAAAAAAAUCAGCAAUGGAAGGAAAAAGGAACAAAAAGCAAUCCAUUGGCGUCAAGCUUGACUGGACCACUCCACUGCUCUGCUGCCCUUCCCUGACCAGAGGUCGUUUUGAGUUUCCUUCUCUGGAAUUUGACCACUGAGCAGAGACACAUAGGAGAGAAGACGUGAAUGCUGAGUCAUCAAUCAGCAUCACUGGGAAGAAAAAGCCUCUCAGUUUCUUCUGCUGGGACUCCCAGAGCUGGAGUAUUUUCUGCUCUUCCUAAGGCCUGCACUUCUCCUUGCUGCUGCUGUGUGAAGAAGGAUGUGUUUUCUUCCUCUUCCUCCGUGAUUAAUCUCACCUUGUCACCCAGGCUGGAGUGCAAUGGCAUAAUCUCAGCUCACUGCAACCUCUGUCUCCCAGGCUCAAAUGAUUCUCCUGCCUCAGCCUCCUGAGUAGCUGGGAUUACAGGCGCCCAUGGACUACCAGCUUUUUAAGUAGACUUUUUAGCCAAAGGCCAAGGGAAACUACCCUCUUCCUACUGGGGUUCAAAUUGAUUAAAAUGGUUUGCUUUGA
rnacentral:lncRNA from 1 species